rnacentral:rRNA from 1 species
GCUAACGGCUGAACUGGCAACUUGGAGAAGUGGCAAGUCUUCCAGUAUGGGGAGCAAACAGCUAUGGGUCAAGCCCGAUACCUUUAAGAGAAGUCUUAUUGUGAGGGCGAGUUGUAUAACACCAUAGGGCUGGCCGUCCCAUAUGAAAAGAUUUUAUUAGAAUUGAAUGAAACUUUGUUUAUAUAUUGAUAAUGACAGUAUAUAUAUCGUGUCUUGACUAAUUGCGUGCCAGCAGUCGCGGUAAUACGUAAGAGACUAGUGUUAUUCAUCUUAAUUAGGUUUAAAGGGUACCCAGACGGUCUAUAUAGCUUAUAAAAUGUUAGUAUAAGACUAGAGUUUUAUGUAAGAGGGCAGUACUUGAGGAGGAGAGAUGAAAUUUCGUGAUACCAAAGGGACUCUGUAAAGGCGAAGGCAGCCCUCUAUGUAAAAACUGACGUUGAAGGACGAAGGCACAGAGAACAAACAGGAUUAGAUACCCAAGUAGUCUUUGCAGUAAAUGAUGAAUGCCAUAGGUUAGAUAUAAAUAUAAAAUCCCUAUAUAAAAAAUAUAUUGAAUAUAUCUGGUCUAUAAAUGAAAGUGUAAGCAUUUCACCUCAAGAGUAAUGUGGCAACGCAGGAACUGAAAUCACUAGACCGUUUCUGACACCAGUAGUGAAG